rnacentral:tRNA from 1 species
GCCUUCGUGAUGUAACGGUAGCACACUUGGGUCGUAAACGAAAGAUUCAGGUUCGAGUCCCGGCGAGGGCA